AUUGAACGCUGGCGGCAUGCCUUACACAUGCAAGUCGAACGGUAACGCGGGGCAACCUGGCGACGAGUGGCGAACGGGUGAGUAAUGCAUCGGAACGUGCCCAGUUGUGGGGGAUAACUGCUCGAAAGAGCAGCUAAUACCGCAUACGACCUGAGGGUGAAAGCGGGGGAUCGCAAGACCUCGCGCAAUUGGAGCGGCCGAUGUCGGAUUAGCUAGUUGGUGGGGUAAAGGCCCACCAAGGCGACGAUCCGUAGCUGGUCUGAGAGUACGACCGGCCAAACUGGGACUGAGAGACGGCACAGACUCCUAGGGGAGGCAGCAGUGGGGAAUUUUGGACAAUAGGCGAAAGUCGGAACCAGCCAUGCCGCGUGCGGGAAGAAGGCCUUCGGGUUGUCAACCGCUUUUGUCAGGGAAGAAAUCUUCAGGGUUAAUACCUCGGGAGGAUGACGGUACCUGAAGAAUAAGCACCGGCUAACUACGUGCCAGCCGCCGCCGUAAAAC
rnacentral:rRNA from 1 species